rnacentral:rRNA from 1 species
UACGUAGGGGGCAAGCGUUGUCCGGAUUUAUUGGGCGUAAAGAGCGUGUAGGCGGCCUGAAAGGUCAGCUGUGAAAACUCGAGGCUCAACCUCGAGACGUCGGUUGAAACCAUCUGGCUAGAGUCCGGAAGAGGAGUGUGGAAUUCCCGGUGUAGCGGUGAAAUGCGCAGAUAUCAGGAGGAACACCAAUGGCGAAGGCAGCUCGCUGGGACGGUACUGACACUGAGACGCGAAAGCUAGGGGAGCAAACGGG